AGCACAACCAUUGUUAUUUGCUAUCUGGUGCAAUACAAGCAAAUGACGCCAGAUGAAGCUUAUAAGCAUGUGAAAUCAAUCAGGCCAAGGGUGCUUUUAGCAUCAUCACAGUGGCAGGCUGUCCUGGAAUUCUACCACCUGAUUGUGCAGAAGGAUGUUUCCUUCUGCCACAUAGAUGAUCUAGGAAAGGAACUAUCAGGAUCAUCGCAUGAUCUUAUCGCAUUUGAUGAUAGUUCUGUAGUUGUUGUAAAAGAAUCCGAUCUAGAUGGAUAUGACCAAAGUAUCAGCCAAAGUAUCAG
rnacentral:misc_RNA from 1 species